AGUGUAGCUCAACUGGCAGAGCGUCGGUCUCCAAAACCGAAGGUUGGGGGUUCGACUCCCUCCACUC
rnacentral:tRNA from 1 species